CCGGGGACCUCAUGGAAUAAAGUAGUCCGAACUAGGUCAGAACAGGAAUGUAGCAGCCUUAAGGAUGGUGCUUUAUGC
rnacentral:SRP_RNA from 1 species